rnacentral:ncRNA from 2 species
CGCUCAUCCAGAGGGGCAGAGGGACACGGCCCGAUGAAGCCCCGGCAACCCUCCAGCCGGUCUCGUAGAUCGCCCGCCGCGAUCGUUUCCGCGAGGCUCCCGGCUAGGGAAGGUGCCAAAUCCGUCUCACGGCGAGAUGCGUCGUGAGGAAGAUGAGGA